rfam:Archeaon Loki Lokiarch_contig000131, whole genome shotgun sequence.
GCGCUCUUAGUAUAGUGGUUAGAAUCUCGGGUUUCCAACCCGAGGACCCGGGUUCAAUUCCCGGAGGGCGCA